GGGCCCGUAGCUCAGCCUGGCAGAGCACUGCCCUUUUAAGGCAGGUGUCGAUGGUUCGAAUCCAUCCGGGCUCA
rfam:Omnitrophica bacterium RIFCSPLOWO2_12_FTLL_44_17 rifcsplowo2_12_scaffold_8180, whole genome shotgun sequence.